ACCCUUGCAGUGGAGUGGAGUCCUCUCCGAAGCCGUCUCGAUGGCGACGAAGAAGCGGAAGAUGGACCAAGAGGAUGAGCUCCUCACCGGCGCCUCCGAUCCCCUUCCUCCGACCGUCCUCUACACGCCCGCUCCCACCUCCGACGAAGAGGACGCCGACGGGGAUGACGACGAGGUGGGUAAGCUUAUUGAGCUGUUCUCCAGGGACCAGCUCGUUGCGCUCCUCCGCUUCGCCGCCGCAUCCGAUGCCGUUACCCUGGACGAGAUACGCCGCACCGCUGACCUAGAUCCCUCCCACCGCAAGCUCUUCGUCCACGGCCUCCACUGGAACACCACCGCCGAUGCCCUCCGCUCCUCGUUCUCCCGCUACGGGGACAUCGAUGAUUGCCGCGUCAUCUUCGACAAGGUCAACGGCCGAUCCAAGGGAUAUGGCUUUGUUCUAUUCCGCCACCGGAGCUCCUCCCACCAUGCCCUCCGCCGCCCACAGAAGCUAAUCGACGGCCGCAUGACCUCUUGCCAACUUGCAUCUGCUGGCUCCACAACCAAUUUCCAGAACUCGGCGCCAAACCAUCUGAACUCUAACCCUGGUCCUAGUAUUAGUUUUACCACUUAUCAGGAUAACGUAGCUAGAAAGAUCUAUGUAGGAAAUGUUCAUGCCGAUGUCGAUGGUGGUCGUCUCCUUGCUUUUUUCUCCCAGUAUGGUGAGAUCGAGGAGGGUCCUAUUGGCUUUGAUCGGAAUACUGGGAAGCCUAAAGGGUAUGCUUUGUUUGUCUAUAAAACAGUGGAGGGCGCAAUGAGAGCCCUUGAGGAGCCAAACAAGAAUUUUGAGGGUAUUAUUCUUCAAUGUGAGAGGGCUAACGACAGAAGUAAGGGGGCACAACAUUAUAACACAGCAGCUCCACUCAAUGCAGCGCCGAAUAAAGGUAAUCUCAAUGGUCCUGGAUAUACAAUGCCUGUAUCAGAUAUUGGGUUAGCACAACAAGCUGCACUGAUGGGGCAGGGUUUUCUUGGCAUGGGCGGGGCACAAGCAUAUGGGCAGGCUAUGCAGUCUAAUGCUGCUGUGCUUGCUUUACUGGCAGCUGCUGGGCAGAAUCCAGCUGCAUUUGGAAUGACACCUUCUGCUCUUACUUUGAACCCUGCCUUUGCAACUACAUUUGGUGCUGCAGGGAGUCAGCAGACUGCACCCGCUUUGCCUCAGAUGGCACAGGUGCCAAACUAUGGGGCUGCAAGUUCUGUAUAUCAGGGAACUGCUGGUUUCCAGGGAGCUACAGGUUUUCAAGGUUCGCCAGGGUUUCAAGGACCUCCAGGGUUUCAGGGCCCUCAGGGAUAUCAGAGCAGUCAGUCUGUUGCUCAACAAGCAGCUGGAGGUGGCAGUUCGUACCCUACCGGGACAGCUCCAGCAUCAAGGAGACCGACUGGAUCAAUGGGUGGAUAUGGACAAGUUUAGAAUUUCAUGAUUUGGGGUCUGACAAUGAUGGAGCGGAGUGCUAACUAAUGCAUCAUGCUGCCUCUACCUUUGUCUGAAUGACCCAGCAGCAGAGCAUUCUCCAUGCAAUCAGAUGUGUUGUUUAAUUGAUUUUUGAUUUAUUUACCUUGGUUCUGAGUAGUGCUUUUUUAAUAUGCCUUCUCUUUUGUUUCUUAUUACAGCAUUGACUUCUAGCCUCUUCUGGGUCCUAUUUCUGAAAUUCGUAGGUUCAACAAUGAGACAAUAAUCAUGAGGCCACUGUGAUGUCCAACAUUCUUCUACAUCAUUAUGCUGUAAGGCACGUUGCUCCGUAGCUCCUGGCAACAAAGAGCAUUUAGAUCUCAUACAUCAUGUCAAAAGACGUACUUCUGCAAUCACCAUGUUUUACUGCUUGUUCAUUGCUGCCACAAUCAUUCCCAAUCUGAAUUCUUGUCUGUUACUGCGAUUAUUGCCAAAUGAAAGAAAAGUAACCAAUAUGCUUCCGUUAGGUAUUCUGACUGUCUCCUGCCUCCAGUUGAAAGAUGAAGCAGGCAAACAAGAUCCGCCGCUAUGCCUGGAGACUAUAGGCGAGGAGGUAAUUCAGAAAAAAAUAAAAUGCUCAGUUGCUUUAAAAUUCAGUUGUAAUAUCGCUGUUUUAAUCACCAAACCUAUCAAAACUAUGUAACCUCAAAUUACCGUUUCCAAAGCCAUACUCAGGUAGGGGUCCUUUUUGGCGUAUUGGAUAACACGCUGACCCACACGUUAUGUGCUCGCCAAGCAUGUUGUCCACCAGUGGAUUUUCGCUUCAGGAAUAUGUGGUCCACCACCCUAUUCAAAAGUUCCAAGGUAAUAGAAUUUUAAAGGUAGAGGAUGCUCCUAAAUAAUUUUGAUACUCAGUUUCAUAAAAAGAGUGUUUAUGUCUCUUUGGUAUUUAAUUGCAAGCUAAACAAAUAAAUUUGAAUAAUGUGUGUGUAUGUAUACAUAUUUAAAGUCCCAUUAUGAUUUUAUCCUUU